GUUCAACAUCAAAGAAAGAAUGCGAAGCUGAAUCAAAGCGUAAAGUUAAGACACCCUCGAGUAAGAAGAAAAAGGAUGACAAGGAAAGUGAGGAAGGCAACGAAGUCCCGACAAAGGGUGCAUCCACAAGACUUCAGAAAAGCCUAGCAGAGAAGAAAUGCAUUCUGUAGUGGCAGAUAUGCUGAAGGAAGUUGAUUUUAAUACAGCAACAUUAUCCGACAUUCUACGGCAGCUAGCUGAGCACUUUGGAGUAGGGUUGUAAUCUAAUCGAAUACUGUCGAAUAUCUCAAUAUUCGAUUCGUAUUCGUGAUAUUAUUCGUAUAUUCGAUUUGAUUUCGAAUUCUAAA